GAUGAACGCUGGCGGCGUGCUUAACACAUGCAAGUCGAACGGAAAGGCCCAAGCUUGCUUGGGUACUCGAGUGGCGAACGGGUGAGUAACACGUGGGUGAUCUGCCCUGCACUUCGGGAUAAGCCUGGGAAACUGGGUCUAAUACCGGAUAGGACGAUGGUUUGGAUGCCAUUGUGGAAAGUUUUUUCGGUGUGGGAUGAGCUCGCGGCCUAUCAGCUUGUUGGUGGGGUAAUGGCCUACCAAGGCGUCGACGGGUAGCCGGCCUGCGAGGGUGUACGGCCACAUUGGGACUGAGAUACGGCCCAGACUCCGGCGGGAGGCAGCAGGGGGGAAUAUUGCACAAUGGGCGCAAGCCUGAUGCAGCGACGCCGCGUGGGCGAUGACGGCCUUCGGGUUGUAAACUCCUUUCGCUAGGGACGAAGCGUUUUUGUGACGGUACCUGGAGAAGAAGCACCGGCUAACUACGUG
rnacentral:rRNA from 1 species